rnacentral:tRNA from 1 species
AAACGAUGAUUACUCACGAUGAGUGUCCACACAGAUUGAUACGGUUUAUGUAAAAGAGACGAUACUGGGUCUGUAGCUCAGGUGGUUAGAGCGUUCGCCUGAUAAGCGAGAGGUCGGUGGUUCGAGUCCACUCAGACCCACCAAUUCCUUUUAGGGAGUUGGCAUACAGUAUCGACACCUUGAUGGGGCUAUAGCUCAGCUGGGAGAGCGCCUGCCUUGCACGCAGGAGGUCUGCGGUUCGAUCCCGCAUAGCUCCACCAUCUUUAAGCGCAUUGGCGAUAGUGCUUUUAAAAAUGGUUACUUCAUUGAAGUGAUUAGCUCUUUAACAAUUUGGAAAGCUGACAAAUCAAACUUUUUAAGUUUGAUUGUAAAGUUCUCAAAGUAUUCCUGAUGGAAUACAACUAAAAACACAUUCAAGUGUUCUUGGAAUUUGAGUCCGGCAAAAUCGAGUCUGCAUCAUGUAUAAAAAUUGCAGACAACUUUGGUGACUUGUCAUCAACUCGAAACUCCUUCGGGUUGUAU